UACAAGAAAACGGAAAGAAAAAGAAAAAAAAAAGAAAAGGGGAUGAAGAUGAGAUCAGAAAGAGAAAUGUUUUCAUCUCAUCUCA
rnacentral:ribozyme from 14 species